rnacentral:rRNA from 1 species
AAUGAACGUUGGCGGCGUGGAUUAGGCAUGCAAGUCGAGCGGUAGGGAGCCGCUCACCGAACCUCCGGUAUUUUUGUCGGGGGUCAGGUGAGCGGCUCCUGAGAGCGGCGAAAGGGAGAGUAACGCGUAGUUACGUACCCCGAGGUCUGGAAUAGCCACGGGAAACUGUGGGUAAUGCCGGAUAAUAUCCUCGGAUCAAAGGUGUGAUUCCGCCUUGGGAGCGGACUGCGUUGUACUAGCUAGUUGGUAGGGUAAUGGCCUACCAAGGCGAUGAUGCAUAGCGGGCGUGAGAGCGUGGCCCGUCUCACUGGGACUGAGACACUGCCCAGACACCUACGGGUGGCUGCAGUCGAGAAUCUUCGGCAAUGAGCGCAAGCUUGACCGAGCGACGCCGCGUGCGGGAUGAAGGCCUUCGGGUUGUAAACCGCUGUCGUAGGGGAGGAAGGCUCCGUGAAGAACGGGGUUUGACCUAUCCUAGGAGGAAGGACGGGCUAAGUUCGUGCCAGCCGCCGCCGUAAUAC